CUAAAGAGCAUAUAUUAAAAACUCAAAGGAGUCGCAGUGAAACAAACAUCUGCAGCUCAGUGUUGGAACAUCAGGGGUAAAUAGGUCAUGGGCGCUCUGUGAAAGACAAAGCGGCAGACAAAGACGGGGACAGUGGGGGGGUCGCUGGGGGUGGGUGUCAUUAUUUGCAUUGGAAGUUUUUGCUGUUGUUGUUUUGAAUCGCCGGCGAAGCCGCCGAGGUGAUGAUGUCACUCUUCAUGUCUGGCAUGUAGGGCAGCAGCUGCCUCAUUUCUAAGCCGUUCCACUUUUUUCCCUGUGAAGGAGAUGUCAUCUGGGCAGAAACCUAUCUGACAGCCGAGAGUGAAAUGAGACCUGAUGACUGGGCUCCAUCUGCCCCCACAGUAUUAGCUUUAUUCACAGUCUGGAGGUGGGGGGGGGCGCAGGUUGCAGCCGUCAUAGCCCUGUCCGUGAGUCAUUCCACCCGGAGUCUGUCUGCGCCGGCUUCUGUGGUGAGAUGCUUUCCCUCCACGUCUUCUUGUUGCCCCCGUGGAGCUGAACUGCCUGCUGUUUCCAGGACGAUUCGGGGGGGCAGCUCGCCUGCCUCCCUCCUGCACGGAAAAGGAAAAAAGCAAAGGAGAGUGAAAAUCAAUUCCUCAUUAAACUAAUUUGUAAAAGCUGCAUCAGAAGGUGUUCAACAUUUGCUUUGGCACAGCUGUCAGUUUGAUGUGACCUUGAGAGGGCGACGUGCUGCCUGACAAAUAGCGUGCGUUCCCGUCGACAAUGGAGGUGUUUCUCUUGUCUUGACUGAUAGCUGGGUCGUUGCCCCCUUUAUUUUCCGGCAGGGAGAAGCAGGACCAGCGCUGAUGUAGAAAUCAGAGGGCUAAUCGAUAUGUGUGUGUGUGCCAGUGUCCGGCCCGGGGAAUUAAAUGCAAACAGAACAAAAGAGCGACCAAGAAUCAGCCGAAACUCUUGAGGUCCCGUCACAGUCCAGAGCAGGGAAUGUCGCAUCCUCCAUUGGCAGAGGAGUGGAAUCCCACUCACCCUUAUAUACUCGUACAUCUUUCCUUCUCAGAUGACCAGCUUCCCCCCUUAAAAUUGACACCCCCCAUUUAUAAUCAUUUCACAUCACUCUGCAGGCUGUGCAGGGGGCUCCUCACCGAGCUGUACCUGUUAUGGGUAUCAAUAGAGUGAGUCGUCAUGGGCUAGCUAAUGCAGCCCACUCCCACUGAGGUAAUCCUUCAGUGGCAUCCUGUAGUACAGAGAAAUGUCAAAGCGCUGCUGCGAGGAUCAGUCUAUCCUUGCAUACAGAGAUGGAGAUAGAUCUUAUUUAAGCCUGAUUUAAUUUAGGCUGCCUGGCACCGGUGAGGAGGAGAAUUGUGUGGAACAGAGGAGAUGAGAAUGCAAAAAAAAAAAAAAAAAAAGUCUUCAUCUGGAGAAAUUGCCUUUGACGCGGCCCGGGCCAGAUGCACCACAAGCUGAACUGACAGAUGUCCCAUCUCUGCCCAGAUAUGACCGCGGGAAUACUGAGUGAAAGAUCAAAUGUUUCAGCCUCCAUAUUGUGAAAGUGUGACGUUGAUCACUGAUCAUGCUCAGUCAAACAGAAUGUGUGAGGUUUCAAACUUUCACCAGAUUUCAAAACUUGUAAAAAUUAUGCGUUGAAGCAAACGUCUCGAUGGAAAAGCUCAUCUGAACCCUGAUGCAGAUAAAACAAGAAAACUCUUGUAAAAAGCUUCUCUUUUUUCUGUGCAGGUUUGUUUAUUCUCAUCUGAAUGCUGCAAUUCACGGCACGGUAAAGAGAAAGAAAACAAAAAAAAUGGAAGCAAACUAUUGAGUAAGUAUUGCAAAACCUGAUAUGUCCAAUGGAAGAAAAUGGACAACUGUUUUUGGUCAAGUCAAAACUACCAUCAAUAUGGGAUACACAGGAGGCCCACAAGAGAUUUGAAGGUCAUAGACCGUUUGAGUCUGUAGAGCAAAAAUGUUUUAUGUUUUUUUUUUGUUUUUUCACAUGCCAGCUUGUUGCGUACACAAAGUUGGAUGCCACAUUGGAAUGGUAUUGAUGCCUGUUUACUGCUAUAGUACAUCUGCACAAACAUAUCUGGAAAAACAAGAAUGUAAAUUAUUACUUUCAGCUGAUAAAGGAGAACUUCUAGAAAACAUUUUAGCAAGAUCUGAGUCAGUUCACUCUCAAUAGUGAACGUUUAGACGGAUCGUGUCGCCUAUUCAAAGUCAAUUGCAGCUUUAGACUUUGCACUAUUUAGACCUUUUGCAUAAAUUGUCCUCUUCUUGCCUCACUUUCUGUCACAUCAGUGAGUAUUCAUGGAGGAGUUUGGGUUGGAAAUGAAAAUCUUCUAAAAAAAAAAACAGGUAAAAGUAAAUUUAAAGUCCCACUGGGGGAAAAAAAA